GAAUAUUGGACAAUGGGGGGAACCCUGAUCCAGCCAUGCCGCGUGUGUGAAGAAGGCCUUUUGGUUGUAAAGCACUUUAAGCGAGGAGGAGGCUACUCUAGUUAAUACCUAGAGAUAGUGGACGUUACGAGCAGAAUAAGCACCGGCUAACUCUGAGCCAGCAGCCGCGGUAAUACGUAGGGUGCAGGCGUUAAUCGGAUUUACUGGGCGUAAAGCGCGCGUAGGUGGCCAAUUAAGUCAAAUGUGAAAGCCCCGAGCUUAACUUGGGAAUUGCAUUCGAUACUGGUUGGCUAGAGUAUGGGAGAGGAUGGUGGAAUUCCAGGUGUAGCGGUGAAAUGCGUAGAGAUCUGGAGGAAUACCGAUGGCGAAGGCAGCCAUCUGGCCUAAUACUGACACUGAGGUGCGAAAGCAUGGGGAGCAAACAG
rnacentral:rRNA from 1 species